AUACAGCUGACGAGUCGCAACUACGACGAAACACGUGUCUACUAU
rnacentral:hammerhead_ribozyme from 1 species